UGUGAGACUGCCUUUUACCUUCUGCCACGAUUGUGAGGCCUCCCCAGCCAGGUGGAACUGAAAGUCGAUUAAACCUCUUCUGUAAAUUGCCCAGUCUCGGGUAUGUCUUUAUCAGCAGCGUGAUAACAAACUAAUACAGAGGACUAGAAUUUUUAGUCAUUAGCUUGUGGGAUGGCCAUGAACAGAUUAUUUCUCUGUGCUCCAUGUUGCCAUUUGUAAAAUACAGGAGAGGAACAGGAGGAGGGUGUCCCUGCCCCACUGCCCACAGGAUACCUGUCCUGAGCCAUAUGUCCCUCUGGGG
rnacentral:lncRNA from 1 species